rnacentral:rRNA from 1 species
CGUCCAGCCCGCUCAGAAACUCAAAGGAAUUGACGGGGCCCGCACAAGCGGAGGAGCAUGUGGUUUAAUUCGAUGAUACGCGAGGAACCUUACCUGGGCUCGAACGUAAGAUGACUGUAGGUGAAAGCUUACAUCUCUUCGGAGCAUUUUACGAGGUGCUGCAUGGUUGUCGUCAGCUCGUGCCGUGAGGUGUCGGGUUAAGUCCCAUAACGAGCGCAACCCUACCUUUAGUUGCCAUCAGGUAAUGCUGGGGACUCUAAAGGAACUGCCUACGCAAGUAGUGAGGAAGCGGGGAUGACGUCAAAUCAGCACGGCCCUUACGUCCAGGGCUACACACGUGCUACAAUGGCCGAUACAGAGGGCAGCUACCUGGUGACAGGAUGCAAAUCUCCAAAGUCGGUCUCAGUUCGGAUCGGAGUCUGCAACCCGACUCCGUGAAGUUGGAUUCGCUAGUAAUCGCGCAUCAGCCAUGGCGCGGUGAAUACGUUCCCGGGCCUU